rnacentral:rRNA from 1 species
AUUGAACGCUGGCGGCAUGCCUUACACAUGCAAGUCGAACGGCAGCACGGGUGCUUGCACCUGGUGGCGAGUGGCGAACGGGUGAGUAAUACAUCGGAACAUGUCCUGUAGUGGGGGAUAGCCCGGCGAAAGCCGGAUUAAUACCGCAUACGAUCUACGGAUGAAAGCGGGGGACCUUCGGGCCUCGCGCUAUAGGGUUGGCCGAUGGCUGAUUAGCUAGUUGGUGGGGUAAAGGCCUACCAAGGCGACGAUCAGUAGCUGGUCUGAGAGGACGACCAGCCACACUGGGACUGAGACACGGCCCAGACUCCUACGGGAGGCAGCAGUGGGGAAUUUUGGACAAUGGGCGAAAGCCUGAUCCAGCAAUGCCGCGUGUGUGAAGAAGGCCUUCGGGUUGUAAAGCACUUUUGUCCGGAAAGAAAUCCUUGGCCCUAAUACGGUCGGGGGGAUGACGGUACCGGAAGAAUAAGCACCGGCUAACUACGU